rnacentral:rRNA from 1 species
GAUGAACGCUGGCGGCGUGCCUAAUACAUGCAAGUCGAGCGAACAGACGAGGAGCUUGCUCCUCUGACGUUAGCGGCGGACGGGUGCGUAACACGUGGAUAACCUACCUAUAAGACUGGGAUAACUUCGGGAAACCGGAGCCAAUACCGGAUAAUAUAUUGAACCGCAUGGUUCAAUAGUGAAAGACGGUUUUGCUGUCACUUAUAGAUGGAUCCGCGCCGCAUUAGCUAGUUGGUAAGGUAACGGCUUACCAAGGCAACGAUGCGUAGCCGACCUGAGAGGGUGAUCGGCCACACUGGAACUGAGACACGGUCCAGACUCCUACGGGAGGCAGCAGUAGGGAAUCUUCCGCAAUGGGCGAAAGCCUGACGGAGCAACACCGCGUGGGUGAUGAAGGUCUUCGGAUCGUAAAGCUCUGUUAUUAGGGAAGAACAGAUGUGUAAGUAACUAUGCACGUCUUGACGGUACCUAAUCAGAAAGCCACGGCUAACUACGUG